GCCACGGCUCGGGUCGGCGGCACUGGCUGCGGGCGUCGGGCGAGGGGCGAGGGAGCCCCCGCAGCCCCCGCUGGCGCCCGCAACUCGGGGCUCCGUCUGGGAGCUGCAGCGGCCACACUUCGCGCAGACACGCGCGCGGGGGAGGGGAGGGUGACAGAACCGACCCGGGAAGCUGGCCUUGGGCGCACGGGACCCCUCACCUGCCGAGGCAGGUAGGGAGCCAGUGGCCCACCUGGAUAGACGCGCCACUAGAAAGCCUUCAGGCGCUGAGGCAAGGGUCCCUCCCGGGCGUGGAAAAUUCUCGCUUCAACUUGUGGGUCCAGAGUGUGAAUCAAGAAUAACAUGGCAACCGAGCCUGGGGAGCCAUGGACCCAUCCUGAGUCUUGGACCACCAUUCAUGCUGUCUAUCCUCUACCUUAGUGUUCUCAGAGGGAAACAUUGCAUCUUUGAAGUGUCAAGUCGAUUUGAUUACUCUCAGUCUCUUUGAUAAUGGAUCAUGCUAUGAAAUGCUAGCUUCGUGGUGGAAUAUCAAUGACCUUUAUAUCUGGAAUAUGAAGUGAUAUCGGCCCUAUGGAGAGACCCACGUAGCAGGGGACAAAGCCUCCAGUGAACAGCCAUGAGAGCGAGCCUUCUUGGAAGUGGCUACUCUGGCUUCAGCCAUGCCCACAGUGUCUCAGCAGAUGUCCAAGGUUGAGAGAAGCUCUGCUGAUGGACUGUACCCAAGGAGCCUCAUCCAUACCAGAAACUAACUUAGAUGAUGAGAUUCUGGAGUUUGAGCUGACGCAUCAGAUUUUGUGGACCUUAUGAAGAGUGCGUAUAUUUUACAUGUAGGAAGAAUGUAAGUAAUUUGUGGACAGAGGAUGGACUAUGGUAUUUUUAAAUGUAUCCCCUGAAGAGGUAGAGUCCAAUCCCCCCCCCCCCUUCAUGCGAGUGUCUGUGGACUUAAUGACUCCUUUCUAAUGACUAGAAUAAAGUAGAAGUGAGAGAGGGAAACUUGUACAACUAGGUUGUGCAGGCCACUGUGCCUCUUUCUCGGUUAUUCUGGGAGAAGUUAGCUGCCAUGGCAUGAGCAGCUGAAUGGAGUGGUCCACGUGGCAAGAAACAAGAGUCCUCCAAGAGAGCCAUGUGCGUGAGCUUUCCUGGAAGUCAAUCCUCCAGUUGCAGCCAUGCCUUCAGAUGACUAGUCCCAGCUCACAGCUUGAUGGCAACCUCGUGAGAGACCCUGGGGCUGGAUCACCCAGCUAAGCUGCUCCCGAAUUCCCCACUCUCAGGAACUGUGUGAGAUAUUAAAUGUUUUCUUAGGAUUCUGCAUUUUGGGUACUCUGCCUGGCAGCAAUAGAUAACUAAUAUAGCACAAGGGGAAAUAUUCUUUUGUAGCAUUUGUCAAAUAAGUUCAGAUAUGAGGCACUGAGCGAACUUCCCGAUCUCAGAUAAUCAUGGCAAAUGACUGGCCCUUGAGGUACAGGGAAAAAGCCAGUGAGACACAGAGGGAAAGUAAAGAGGAAGAUAAAAGAAGAGAGGACUAAAAGAAGGAAUAAAAGAAAAAAUAGCAAGAGAAGGACACAGGAAAGGUGUCCAUAUUUCCUAGUUUACUCAGGACAGUCCCAGUUUGUAGUGUUGUCCUACUACAAUUAUAACUAGAAUCCCCUUUCACUUUCAAGGGUCUUGGUUUGAAGGAUAAAUUAUAUGACUCUAGCUAGAGGCCAAUAUUUCAGUCUUCCAUUCUCACUGUUUUUUGCCUUAAUAUUCUAUCUUUUUCCCAUGGCUUGUUGCCCCAGCCUCUUUCCAGUCUGUUCUGAUACUAGCCCAGCGUCCUAACUUUCCCACCAAACCACAGCCUGUCACUGGCACCAGCUCCAGGAGUUAGAGGUCAUCUCUGUCCACUCCCUCGUGUUCUUUCAUCACAGUAAGCAGUUUGUCACAGCAGCAAAGAGAUCAGUGUAGGAACUAGACAAGGGUCUGGCUCUUGGUUGUAUACCUGCUGGGGGAAUUACUUAACUUCUUUAAGCCUCAGAUAUAAGCUUCAGAAUAGAAUAUUAUCUACAAUCUUAUAGGGAUGUGGAAGAUGUUAAUGGGAUUGUGUACAUAAUGUGCUUAGCACAGUGCCUGACAUAUAUAUGCUGGGCACUGUACCUUUGAGCAUUUUAUAUGCAUAAUAUAUUUGACGAAUAUAUGUUAGUUAUAAUCUUAACUUACUGUCACAGAAAACAAAGUCAUCUCAUUGAGGCUGAAGCACCUUAGGUGUCGGCACAUGUAUUUUACUGGGGAACCCUCAAGUACAUGAGUACUUGUCUUUAUUAGUUUUAAUGUUAGAAGGCAGAGACAUGGUUAGGAAAUGUGUUUAGGAGUAAAGUAAAAGCCAGGCAAAGCCUAUAUUUGCUUUUCAGGCUUGAUAUGUUUUACUUUGCUCAUUCAUUCAUUCAUUCAUACAUUUAUCCACUUAUUCUUUCAACAAAGAUAUAUUAGUUAUCUACCAGAUCACACGCACGAUGCUAACCACAGGAUUGAGCAAUGCUUUGCAACAAGAAUAAAGCUGUAUUCCCACUUCUUCCAGGAAAACAUUACAUUUAAAAAAGGUGUUAUGUGGGAAUAUGAGUGACUAGUGAUCUGAAGCCAAAUUAAAAAAUAUAUAUACACACACACACACGUAUGUUUUUCAGGGUGACUAGAUUUUAUUUUAAAUUAGUUUUGAGCAAUAGAAGCAAUUUGCUGCUAUAAAAAGGAACAGGUUUUAGCUUUUGACUUGAUUUUUUUUUAAACUAAGAGUGGGAAAAUGCAAAUUAUGUGAAUAUAUAAUUCGGAAUCCUGGUGAUGGGAGCAGAAGGAGCUGACAGGAAGACAGAAUUCUCUUUUUUUUUUUUUUUUUUGCCAUAGGCAAUCCUUUUCUCUGUUUUUAGGAAAAAAGAAAACUAGUAGCCAGAAAUAGUCCUAGGCACAUGGAUUAUAUAUUUCAUAUGCAUAGCAUAGAAUAUUCAGUAAAGUUAAGUAGGUGUCUGAAAACCAAGAAACUUCAAUACAUGAAGGUGACGACAACAAUUAAAGUAGGAUGCCUUCAACCUAUAUGGUAGGUUCAAGGGAUUUGGCAAUAUCUUUUUUUUUUCAUUUUUAAAAAUAUAUAUAUUUUUCACUAUUUUUAAUUCCCUUUGAUAAUGAGCACCACUUCAUACUUUUCAAUAGCUCAUGGAUUUUUACCUCUGUGUUCAUCUUCAAGGUCAAGUUUAUGAACAUGCUACAAAUAAGCUAACUGUAAACGAGUUAGGGAUGUUUUUUAGGAGUAAUAAUAACCAACAUUUAUUAAGUGUUUGUUAAAUUCAAAGCCGUACAGGCCAUUUCCCCUCAAAUUCUCACAACAGCCAUGGGACUCCGCCGCUGUCAUUGUCUUAUCCCACGUGUGAAAAAAGCAUGGAAAGUGGAAGAACCUUGCUUGACUACAAAGGUAGGUGGUGACAGAGUCAGGAUUUGAACCUGGGAGUCUGGCUCGAGACCCAUGCUUAACCACACUAUUUUGAAUGGAUGGGCUAAAUGUUUUUCACCUGUUUAUGGAUAUUUCCCAAUUAGUCUCUUUUGAAAAAGUUAUAUCUUCUUGGGUUCUCUUUUAAGUCCUUGCCCUUGUCUCUGUUCUAUCCAAGGAUCAUUUAACCUGAUAAAUAUGCAAGUCCACACCUGUCUGCAUGAUGCACUGACUCAUUCAUUUAGCUGAAAGGUAGAAACCAAAUUGGUUUUUAAAAAUACAUAGGAAUCUAAUUGAAAAAUUUCAUGAAUCACCUUAAUGAGAAACCAGUAGCAGAAUCUCAAGUACAGAGAGCCUCAGACAAUUGCUUUUUAAAAGCCCUGGUCAACUAUACAUAUUCAUCUUGAAUGAAAAUGCCUCUCUAGCAAGACAUUGCGUGGCAGUAGUAAUCACUGAAGUUUAGGAUGUGAAAACCAUCUCAAGUGACUUAAAUUAUUGUUCCUUAUUCUUCUGUGUUUGAACAUCAUGAUGUGUCUACUUAGUAUUGAAUAGCGAGGUGGCCAGUAUUCUUUCCAGCACUGGGUAAAUUAAAGACAAACCAAGUUGAUAACAUCUCGCUCUUAUUUGUUCUUUAUAAAUUUACAUUCUGCCGGAUUUAUAAGCUUCACUUUGUACCUUUUUCUUAAAGUUUAUGUAUUUAUUUUGAGGGGGUGGGGGGAGGAAGAGGCAGAGAGAGAGGGAGAGAGAAUCCCCAGCGGGCUCCCACGAACCGUGAGAUCAUGACUUGAGCCGAAAUCAAGAGUCGGUCACUUGACCGACUGAGCCACCCAGGCGCUCCGACUUUGUACCUUUUGAGAGUGCAGCCAUUUGGAAUUUGGUUGUUAAGGAGAGUCCCUAAGUUGUGUUGCUGAAAUGUGAGGAAUCCCUUCAGACGGUUCGCCGCAGCUCACUGGGUGCCACUUCUCUCAGAGCGUAACACCCCGUGUUGCCCAACGCUGUGAGGGCAUGAGCAGGCCGCUUACCAUCCUGAUGGCUUUUCUCCUGCCCUUUUUUCCUAAUGGAAAAUCAUUUUUCCCAUUGGAAUUUUGAGACAAUCAAUAUCCACUUGCAAAUAGCAUAAACUAUUGCUUUUUCUUCAUUUGUUUCUUACCACCCUAUAUCCCACCCAACCCACAGAUGCCUUUGCACACUGGCCCAAAUUUCCACAAACCAGGGCAAGAAGGGCUGCAUAAAUUUUGGACCCUUCUGCAAAAUGAAAAUGCAGGGCUUUUUGUUCAAAAAAAAAAAAAAGGCAGGAAAAAACUAAGGUAAAGCCUAAGUUUUUUUUUUCCAUGCUCUCUCUCGCUCAACUUGUCGUGAUGUUUUCUGUGUGCU